GUGAGGAAUUUUCCGCAAUGGGCGAAAGCCUGACGGAGCAAUGCCGCGUGAAGGAUGAAGGCCUAUGGGUUGUAAACUUCUUUUCUCAGAAAAGAAUUAUGACGGUAUCUGAGGAAUAAGCAUCGGCUAACUCUGUGCCAGCAGCCGCGGUAAGACAGAGGAUGCAAGCGUUAUCCGGAAUGAUUGGGCGUAAAGCGUCUGUAGGUUGUUUAAAAAGUAUUCUGUCAAAGAUUAGGGCUUAACCCUAGAUAGGCAGAAUAAACUUUUAAGCUAGAGUGUGGUAGAGGCAGAGGGAAUUCCCGGUGGAGCGGUGAAAUGCGUAGAUAUCGGGAGGAACACCAAAGGCGAAGGCACUCUGCUGGGCCAAUACUAACACUGAGAGACGAAAGCGCGGGGAGCAAAUGGGAUUAGAUACCCUUGUAGUCC
rnacentral:rRNA from 1 species